GGCUCACCGCGAACGCUGGCGGCGUGCCUAACACAUGCAAGUCGUGCGGAGGGGUGAUGAGCCCCUCAGCGGCAAACGGGUGAGUAACACGUGAGUAACCUGCCCCUGGGAAGGGGAUAACCCUCCGAAAGGGGGGCUAAUACCCUAUAUUGCCGGGGACCACUAAGGUCACCCGGUGAAAGGUGGCCUCUGCCCUUCAUGGGUAUGCUACCGCCCAGGGAGGGGCUCGCGGCCCAUCAGGUAGUUGGUGGGGUAACGGCCUACCAAGCCUAUGACGGGUAGCCGGCCUGAGAGGGUGGCCGGCCACAGUGGGACUGAGACACGGCCCACACCCCUACGGGGGGCAGCAGUGGGGAAUCGUGGGCAAUGGGCGAAAGCCUGACCCCGCGACGCCGCGUGGGGGAUGAAGCCCUUCGGGGUGUAAACCCCUGUCGGGGGGGACGAUGUGUCCUGGGGUGAAUAAUCCCAGGGCAUGACGGUACCCCCAGAGGAAGGGACGGCUAACUACGUGCCAGCAGCCGCGGUAAUAC
rnacentral:rRNA from 1 species